UUCUAAUUACUUAGUACUUUCACAAUAAAAUCACAAUGUAUUGUCACAAAAACUGAGUUGAAGCAUUUCAAUGGGAUGGCUUCAAUCUCUCUUCUCCCCCUUCAAGAACCUAUGGAGUCGAGUUCGUUUGACACAUACCCGCAAUAGAAAACGUAAAGGAUUGUACGUGUUGUAUGAAGACGUAAAGUGUUGCUCGUGUGAGGAUGUGCAAAUGUUAUGGUCGAUGUUUGUUGGCCUAGAACCCGGUUUUUCUAUUUAGAGUGAAACCGGAUAUAGUUGAUACGACUAUGACGGAAUGCCUACGACGAACCGAUCAAAUUUACUUGUAAACGAUUAGUAUAUUUUGUCUAUCUUAUAUGUGUAUAUGUUAAAGAGAUUCAGAAUGUUCCUUGUAACAUAUUUGAUUGCUUUGUUGUAUACUAUAUAAUUUGAAAACCAAUGUCAUCUAUCUAUAUGAAUAUAUAAUGAUAAAAAUGCUAUAGUUUCCUGUA